GACGAACGCUGGCGGCGUGCUUAACACAUGCAAGUCGAACGGAAAGGCCCUGCUUUUGUGGGGUGCUCGAGUGGCGAACGGGUGAGUAACACGUGAGUAACCUGCCCUUGACUUUGGGAUAACUUCAGGAAACUGGGGCUAAUACCGGAUAGGAGCUCCUGCUGCAUGGUGGGGGUUGGAAAGUUUCGGCGGUUGGGGAUGGACUCGCGGCUUAUCAGCUUGUUGGUGGGGUAGUGGCUUACCAAGGCUUUGACGGGUAGCCGGCCUGAGAGGGUGACCGGCCACAUUGGGACUGAGAUACGGCCCAGACUCCUACGGGAGGCAGCAGUGGGGAAUAUUGCACAAUGGGCUGAAGCCUGAUGCAGCAACGCCGCGUGCGGGAUGACGGCCUUCGGGUUGUAAACCGCUUCCGCCUGUGACGAAGCGUGAGUGACGGUAAUGGGUAAAGAAGCACCGGCUAACUACGUG
rnacentral:rRNA from 1 species